GACGAACGCUGGCGGCGUGCUUAACACAUGCAAGUCGAACGGAAAGGCCCUGCUUUUGUGGGGUGCUCGAGUGGCGAACGGGUGAGUAACACGUGAGUAACCUGCCCUUGACUUUGGGAUAACUUCAGGAAACUGGGGCUAAUACCGGAUAGGAGCUCCUGCUGCAUGGUGGGGGUUGGAAAGUUUCGGCGGUUGGGGAUGGACUCGCGGCUUAUCAGCUUGUUGGUGGGGUAGUGGCUUACCAAGGCUUUGACGGGUAGCCGGCCUGAGAGGGUGACCGGCCACAUUGGGACUGCGGUACGGACCAGACUCCUACGGGAGGCAGCAGUGGGGAAUAUUGCACAAUGGGCGGAAGCCUGAUGCAGCAGCGCCGCGUGCGGGAUGACGGCCUUCGGGUUGUAAACCGCUUUCGCCUGUGACGAGGCGUGAGUGACGGUAAUGGGUAAAGAAGCACCGGCUAACUACGUG
rnacentral:rRNA from 1 species